rnacentral:rRNA from 1 species
GACGAACGCUGGCGGCGUGCCUAAUACAUGCAAGUAGAACGCACAGUUUAUACCGUGGCUCGCUACACCAUAUACUGUGAGUUGCGAACGGGUUAGUAACGCGUAGGUAACCUGCCUGGUAGCGGGGGAUAACUAUUGGAAACGAUAGCUAAUACCUCAUAAUAUUAAUUAUUGCAUGAUAAUUAAUUGAAAUUUGCAAUUUCACCACUACCAGAUGGACCUGCGUUGUAUUAGCUAGUAGGUGAGGUAACGGCUCACCUAGGCGAGGAUACAUACCCGACCUGCGAGGGUGAGAGGCCAAGCUGGGAUGGAGACAUGGCCCAGAAUACUACGGGAGGGAGCCGGAGGGGACCUUCGGGAAUGGAAGAAAGGCUGAACGAGCAACGACGGGUGAGUGAAGAAGGUAGUCGGAUCGCAAAGGUCAGUUGUAAGAGAAGAAUGGGUGUGAGAGUGGAAAGUGCACAUUGUGACGGUAUCUGAAGAGAAAGCGACGGCUAACUACGUG